UGGGCUCCCCAUUCGACCCGUCU
rnacentral:snRNA from 1 species